AGGAAGGAAGGAAGGAAGGAGAUAAUGGAAAGAAGGAAGGAAGGAAGGAUUCUGAUGAUGUCACUGAGUUGUUUUUCUUUGGUCUUAAAUCAUUUUUAUUGUUUUUAUUCCAGGUUUAAUAGUUUAACUAUGUCUCAUGUCUUUGUGUCUCUAGUGGUGGUGGUGCCCCCCCCCUCCCCCCUCCCCCCCUCGUCCAGACUGUAAACCAACCUAAAGUUGCUGGUUCAACUCCCGGCCAAGCCUCAGAGCCAUGGCAUCGACUGUUACACAGAAAAUAAUCAAUGCAAGAAACCGAGCACUGCUUCUCUGACAGGAACUUUGCACACGACUCUCUGACGUCGACCAAAACAAAAGACAGAAGGUUUCCCCGUCCCCUCGCCCCCCCGCAUGGAUCCUCCUCUACUUGAAGUGAAUGUACAGUCGCUCUGUUUGUUCGUGGUCUCCUGUGACGAUCGUCUUUUAUUCAACCACUGUCGCUCUGAGCUGCUCCCGUCCCGUCCCCGUGUUUUAAUUUAAAGAAGUCAAAGUCUAUAUUGAAACAUAUAUAAGUAUAAAUAUAUAUUAAUCCCUAAACCAACCGCGACGAACCUUAAAAGUAUUUUUGUACUCUGGGUUUUGAACACGUCUCGUUUUGCCUGGAAUGCUGAAGAUGUUGGCAUGAAGUGGUUUGUUGGUUUUUGUGUCCGGUUUGUGCCUCCUCCGGGUUCAGCAUGACGGCUUCGGGGCUCGGUCUGGGUCCAGGUCUCGGUCUGGGUCCAGGUCCAUGUGUUGUCCAUUGUCUGUGACUCCCGUUUUAACACACGUAUAAAUAUAUAUAUUUAUAUAUAUAUAUAUUUAUAUCAAUAAGUCUAUGUAUCUUGGAGUCUCCAGGCGUAUGCACAGUAUUUUAAACGUGCGUUUUUAAUGUUUGCACAUAGCAUUUAUGGAAUAAAAGCUAAUUGAAUAUUUGAUGCAAGCGGGCAUUACCUGUGGCAGCUUCUCUCUCCCAGGAUGAAGACGUACGUGAACUCACCACUCGUGUUCUUGUUGGAUUCAGCUUUAUACUCGGACCGAUGCACUCGUCUCGUUACUGAGCAGAGCCCAGGAGAUGGGACCAAAACCAUGUCUGUGUAACCUGGUCUAACCCGGUCUAAUCCGGUCUAAUCCGGUCUAACCUGGUCUAAUCCGGUCUAAUCCGGUCUAACCUGGUCUAAUCCGGUCUAAUCUGGUUUACUUUACUGUAAAUUAUGAUCUAACCUGAUCUAAUCUGGUUUAAUUAAAUGUAAUCUGGUCUAAUUUGAUUUUAUUUAGUGUAAUCUGGUCUAAUCUGAUUUCAUUUAGUGUAAUCUGGUCUAAUCUGUUAUAAUCUUAGUUGAUCCAUAUUCUCAUCUGAUCUACUUUAACCUGAUCUAAUCUGGUUUAAUUAAAUGUAAUCUGGUCUAAUCUGAUUGCUAUUCAAAUGUAAUUUUAUCUCCUUUAAUCUGAUUAAUAUAUUAUGAUCGAAUCUGUUUCAUGUUAAAAACAUUGAGAUAGUUUUAAACUGCUCCGAACCCCGAUCCCUGUUUCCCGUACUGAUGCUAAGCUAGGCUAACGGCCUCCUGCUACACAGUAAAUGAAGGUAAAUGAAAGAAGCCGUUUAUUUCAGUCAUGGUUUUGGUGUCGAUCUCCUCGUGUGACGUCAGUAAACUAUUGGUUUAAAACACUAUUUAGGUUUAGGCAGAAACUUUCACUUUUAAUGGAAGUUAAUUAAUUGUAUUUUUGUAGCUGUGAGUUGAGGUGAAAGUCAAACACGGAUCACGUUUUGUCUUCAGCGACGCUCCAGUGACGUUCAGCCUCGGUGAAAACGACCGUUGGAUUCAGCUCCAGACAAACGUGAGGAGUUUCUGAAGCGAAGCUGCAGCCGUUCACAUUUCAAACGUUUGAAAGGUCGAAGCUUCGGCCUCAAUCUAUUUAUUUCUUCAUCUUCAGGCUCUAGAGAAAUGUCUCCAUCUGUAUAUUUUUGCAUCAGUUAUUCACGUUAACUCCUGAAUUUAUUUAUUUGCUGCGAAAAGAAUGAAAUGUUUUUCUUUUCUUUUUUGUUUUUUAUGGACUGCUCCGUGUUUUGAUGCAUUUGGACAUUUUUGCAUUCUCACGUGGAUGGAUGUAUUUUACCAGCUGAAAUAAACCUUGUCUCAUGUGGAUGUUGUGCACCUGAA